rnacentral:lncRNA from 1 species
CAGAUGCCUUAAUGUCUUUGAGCAAAGCUUCCCUUUAGACACUCCACAGGGUAGCAUAUCCUGAGCCACUGUCCUGGCCUUUCCUGGGCUGCCACAGGUGCCCACCGCUGCCCUGUGCCCUGUAGGUACAGGAAAUUUCAGGCCCUGGGUCAGCUCCUCCUAGAGGACAGCCUGAGGUGUGGGGCACACCUUGUCAGGGGAGCAGCUGGAAGCCCUGGGGAUGAGGAAUUUCCUGUAACAUGUCACAUCUAAACAACUGCCUCAUUGGGCUAUUGUGUCCCCCAAGCCCUGUUCCCAUUCCUUGGAGACAGGUGGACAGUGAGCCUGUGGAUGCUGGUGCUGAGGGGCCAGGUCAGCAGUGAUUCCUGCCCUUGCAGUCUCUCACAGUUGUGAAGGAGGAAAACUCUCCCAGAGCAUAAGGACCACCCACCCCAGUGCAGUGCUGUGCAAACCUGAAAGCCUCAUAGACUGGAGUCAUAGUCCAGAUCUCCUGGGAGGGUGAUCAUGGAGUGUUUCAGUGAGCAGGACCAGGUGGGAGAUGUCCAGCUGGUAGGCUGAUUAUCAGUCCCUUGAACAUGACACAUCUGUGUUCCCUCAGCCCCAGCCCUAUCUGUGUUCCUCACUUUGAAUUGAUAUGCUUUAUACAUAAAUGUAACAUUGGAAUUCACUGUGAUAUAUUUAUACAGCGCAUAGCAUAAUUUGUUCCAUUUCAUUCAACAGUUCUCUAAACAUUAAAAAGAGCUAGGGAUGUAACUGAGUGUUUAAGUGUCCCUGGGUUCAACACAGAGUACCCAAAAAAAAAAAAAAAGCUGACAUUAGAG